rnacentral:rRNA from 1 species
UAUAGGUUUGGUCCCGGCCUUCCCAUUAGCCCCCAAUAGACUUACACAUGCAAGCAUCUACGCCCCGGUGAAAAUGCCCUUCAAGUUAACCAAACUAAAAGGAGCUGGUAUCAAGCGCACAUCCGUAGCUAACGACACCUUGCUUAACCACACCCCCACGGGAGACAGCAGUGAUAAAAAUUAAGCUAUGAACGUAAGUUUGACUAAGUUAUAUUGAUUAGGGUCGGUAAAUUUCGUGCCAGCCACCGCGGUCAUACGAUUAACCCAAGUUAAUAGGAAUACGGCGUAAAGCGUGUCAAAGCAUUUCACCAAAUACAGUUAAAUUCUAAUUAAGCCGUAAAAAGCCACAAUUAUAAUGAAAAUAGAUAACGAAAGUAGCUCUACAACC